UACGAAGGGGGCUAGCGUUGUUCGGAAUUACUGGGCGUAAAGGGCGCGUAGGCGGUCUCGUAAGUCAGGCGUGAAAGGCCCGGGCUCAACCUGGGGACUGCGCUUGAUACUGCGGGGCUUGAAUCCGGGAGAGGAUGGCGGAAUUCCCAGUGUAGAGGUGAAAUUCGUAGAUAUCGAGAGGAACAUCGGUGGCGAAGGCGGCCUUCUGGACGGUGACUGACGCUGAGAUGCGAAAGCGUGGGGAGCAAACAGG
rnacentral:rRNA from 1 species